rnacentral:rRNA from 1 species
UACAGAGGAGCCAAGCGUUGUCCGGAUUGACUGGGCGUAAAGCGCACGCAGGCGGCGGCGCGCGUGGGUGUGAAAUCUGGCCGCUUAACGGCCAGGACGCCAUCCCAUACGGCGCGGCUGGAGGGAUGCAGAGGUCGAUGGAAUUGCCGGUGUAGUGGUGAAAUGCGUAGAGAUCGGCAGGAACACCCAGGGGAAACCGAGUCGACUGGGCCAUGCACCUC